AUUGAACGCUGGCGGCAGGCUUAACACAUGCAAGUCGAGCGGAGAUGAGGUGCUUGCACCUUAUCUUAGCGGCGGACGGGUGAGUAAUGCUUAGGAAUCUGCCUAUUAGUGGGGGACAACAUUCCGAAAGGAAUGCUAAUACCGCAUACGUCCUACGGGAGAAAGCAGGGGAUCUUCGGACCUUGCGCUAAUAGAUGAGCCUAAGUCGGAUUAGCUAGUUGGUGGGGUAAAGGCCUACCAAGGGGACGAUCUGUAGCGGGUCUGAGAGUAUGAUCCGACACACUGGGACUGAGACACGGCCGAGACGCCUACGGGAAGCAGCAGUGGGGAAUAUUGGACAAUGGGGGGAACCCUGAUCCAGCCAUGCCGCGUGUGUGAAGAAGGCCUUAUGGUUGUAAAGCACUUUAAGCGAGGAGGAGGCUACUGAGACUAAUACUCUUGGAUAGUGGACGUUACUCGCAGAAUAAGCACCGGCUAACUCUGUGCCAGCCGCCGCGGUAAUAC
rnacentral:rRNA from 1 species